rnacentral:tRNA from 1 species
GUACGUAUAGCCAAGCGGUAAGGCAAAUCUCUGCAAAAGAUUCAUUCCGUCGGUUCAAAUCCGACUACGUACU